rnacentral:lncRNA from 1 species
CUUGCAUCUGUUUAAGGUCUGCAAGGGAUUUUUUGUUAUUGUGUACUUGGACAACGCAGAGUCGCGAUGUUGUUUUCCUGCGCGAGGCUGCCGGAGGACCUCCGCUGGUGCUUCGGGGAGCUCGCGAAGAAUUACGCGGAAGCCCCCAGUCUAAAGGUGCGGCUCCGCGUCAUAAAGCAAGCUAUUACUAUCCUGGAGGAGGAAUUCUGGUGGCUUGAUUACCCGGAAGUGCAGACGCUUUUUGAGAGGCUCCAGGUAGUGCGGAGGGAUUUGGCACGCGCUCUGCGCGCAGCGCCCGCCAGCAUCGCAUCAGCUGUUCCUGCUUCACCGGAAGGAGAUCCUGUUGCUGCUCAGUCGAGUCAAGCUCAUGUUCCUGUCUUCGCUCAGUCAAGCCAAGCUCACGUUCCUGUCGUCGCUCAGUCAAGCCAAGCUCAUGUUCCUGUCGUCGCUCAGUCGAGUCAAGCUCAUGUUCCUGUCACCGCUCAGUCAAGCCAAGCUCACGUUCCUGUCGCCGCUCAGUCAAGCCAAGCUCACGUUCCUGUCGCCGCUCAGUCAAGUCAAGCUCACGUUCCUGUCGCCGCUCAGUCAAGUCAAGCUCACGUUCCUGUCGCCGCUCAGUCAAGCCAAGCUCACUCCCCUGUUGCCACUCAGGCAGAUCCAGUCCCUGCUCCAGACGCUGUUCAGGCAGAUCCAGCUCCCGUUCCAGACUCCAGCUCAUCGAACCAAGUCCAUGCCCACGUUACCGCCAUAGUUCCCCAGUCCAAUUCAGUCCGUGCCGUGGACCCAGCUCCUGCUUCAGCCCUGGCGGUUGAGGAGGUGAAGCCCACAGCUAGUCGUCGGAGGUCCAGACGGCGUCGACGGCAGCCGGUUUCCCCUAUCCAGGCUCCAGAAGACUCGGCCACUGAAAUCAAGCGGCCCUCUCCGCCAGCAGAGGGCACUCUCGCUCCAUCUUACGACAUGCCCAUCUCCAUCGCAGGCGUCCCGGACAGCAUCUUCCUGCGGAUCCGUGCCCAAUGCGCCCCUCCGGUCCUGUUCCUGUUUGCACACUGGCUGAACUCCGCUGAGGCAGAGACCGACCCGGUAAUCAAGGAGCGUCACUUCCGUGAAGCCGCCCUGCUCAUCGCUCGGAAGCCUGCGCUGCGCGAGGCCCUGGGUUUCAUUAAACCCCCGUCAGAGCCUGCACCCGUUCCUGCAUCAGAGCCUGCACCCGUUCCUGCAUCAGAGCCUGCACCCGUUCCUGCAUCAGAGCCUGCACCCGUUCCUGCAUCUGAGCCUGCACCAGUUCCUGCAUCUGAGCCUGCACCCGUUCCUGCAUCUAAGCCUGCACCACUGGCCCCAGCGUCUAAGCCUGCACCACUGGCCCCAGCGUCUAAGCCUGCACCACUGGCCCCAGCGUCUAAGCCUGCACCACUGGCCCCAGCGUCUAAGCCUGCACCACUGGCCCCAGCGUCUCUGGCUGCAUCACUGGCCCCAGCGUCUCUGGCUGCAUCACUGGCCCCAGCGUCUCUGGCUGCAUCACUGGCCCCAGCGUCUCUGGCUGCAUCACUGGCCCCAGCGUCUCUGGCUGCAGCGUCUCCUGCCCUAGCCUCAGCUCAGCCAUGCCAAGCUCAAGCUCCAGCUCAAGCCUCAGCUCAGCCUGCAGCAGCUCAAGCCCCAGCUCAGCCUGCAGCAGCUCAAGCCUCAGCUCAGCCACGUCAAGCUCAAGCCUCAGCUCAGUCACGUCAAGCUCAAGCCCCAGCUCAAGCUCAAGCCUCGGCUCCGCCACGCCAAACUCAAGCUCCAUCUUUAUGCCAGCUAGCGGAC